rnacentral:rRNA from 1 species
GACGAACGCUGGCGGCGCGCUUAACACAUGCAAGUCGAGCGAUGAAAUUUCGACAUUUCCCUUCGGGGUGAAGAUGAAAUGGAUUAGCGGCGGACGGGUGCGUACCCCGUGAGUAACCUGCCUUUGACAUUGGUAUAGCCUCGGGCAACUGGGAUUACUACCAACUGACACUAACUGAUCACAUGAUCACUUAGUCAAAGAAAUUCGGUCCAAGAUGGACUCGCGGCUGAUUAGCUAGUUGGUGAGGUAACGGCCCAUCAAGGCGACGAUGGGUGGCCGGGCGGGGAGGGGGAUCGGCCACAUUGGAACUGAGACACAGUCCAAACUGCUACGGGAGGGAGGAGUGGGGAAUAUUGCAGGAGGGGGGAAAACGUGAUGCAGCGGCGCGGCGGGAGCGAAGAAGGCCGUCGGGUCGUAAAGCUCUUUUAGGAGAGAAGAUAAUGACGGUACCGGAAGAAAAAGCCCCGGCUAACUACGUG